rnacentral:lncRNA from 1 species
UGCUAACCCAUUGUGACGCUAAAUGAUAAACCAAUAUUUAAACUAUAUAUUUCAUCCUUUUAUAUUUCUUUUCUUGUCUAAUUUAGUUGGAAGCUUUAAGUAUUUAUGAUACUUUUGAUUUAUUGUGUUUGUAGGAGAAGAAAGAAAGCUAAGAGAGACCAGAAAAUUGUGUGAAAGAAAGAAUAAAAUAGAAUGAGCAAAAACGCAGAAACGUGAAAAAGGGAAAGCAGGAUAAUUAAAGGGUAAUGGGCAGACAGCUGCCCUUGCAGCUGAGACUGACAACAAAAGGAGGGCAUGAAGACAGCGGGACAGAUAGAAGAGCGUGGGGGAAAAGAAAAAUAAAAGAAGAAUCCAAGGGAGACACGGGCCCUUGGCAGGGGAAAAGAAGAGAAGCAGGAAACGUGAGACACGGGGGUAGCGUGAAAAGAGGAAAAGAAUGAAAUAAGAGGGACAGACACGGGUAGGGAGAAAGAGGGGGGGUCUUGGAGCGGGGUGGACAGAGGGGCGGCCCUUUGGGCAGCUCGCAGACAAGGCAGCGCCUGGAGGGACAGAGGGAUAGACACGGGGUUGCAGAGACGCAAGAGACGUGGGCUUCGCAGGGGCAGAAAUAAAGAGAGAGUGAGAGGUCAGGAGGGCGUGACUGGAGAGGUAAGGACAGCAGCAGAUCUGUCUUUGCAGCUGGUAGGGAGGUCAGCACGCAGGGAGAAAGCUGCCUUUGGGCAGCGUAUGUAAGAGAGAGGGCAGCGGGGAAAGACAGAGGAGGACAGAGAACAGCUCGCAGGGGUUCAAAGGCACAGACAGAAACACUCUUCUCUCUCGGUUAAAUCUUUCCAACUUAUGAUUAAUUUUUGGUUUAAUUUUAGAAUAAUGUGUAGCUAAAUUUAUUUUGGCUAGAGGUUAAUUCAAAGCCAUGAAUAUAUUUGUAAUAUGAAUUGAUUACCUUCGGUUGUGAUUUCAUAAGUUGUGAUUUCAAUUUACUUAUUCGUUCGUAUAAAAACUGAUUUGUGUAUGUUGGUUGAGAGUGCACGCUUAAUUUACAUGCAUGAAUUUG